GACGAACGCUGGCGGUGUGCUUAACACAUGCAAGUCGAACGGUAAGGCCCUUUCGGGGGUACACGAGUGGCGAACGGGUGAGUAACACGUGAGUAACCUGCCCUCAUCUCUGGGAUAACAGUCGGAAACGGUUGCUAAUACUGGAUAUGAGCUUGCAAGGCAUCUUGUGGGUUGGAAAGAUUUUUUUUGGUUGGGGGUGGACUCGCGGCCUAUCAGCUUGUUGGUGAGGUAGUGGCUCACCAAGGCUUCGACGGGUAGCCGGCCUGAGAGGGCGACCGGCCACAUUGGGACUGAGAUACGGCCCAAACUCCUACGGGAGGCAGCAGUGGGGAAUAUUGCACAAUGGACGGAAGUCUGAUGCAGCAACGCCGCGUGCGGGAUGACGGCCUUCGGGUUGUAAACCGCUGUCAAUUGUGACGAAGCUUUUUUGUGACGGUAGCAGUAGAAGAAGCACCGGCUAACUACGUG
rnacentral:rRNA from 1 species